rnacentral:snoRNA from 1 species
UGGAGGUGAUGAACAUCCUCACCCUGACUCCAGAGUGGAGGCAAAAAACUGAUUUAAUGAGCCUGAUCC